rnacentral:lncRNA from 1 species
UCCAUGAUUUCAUCGUAAUGAAGGCUUAAGGUUGCUCCUUUCGGCCACCGCCUUCUCACCAGUCACUACCUUCUCGAUGUGCUCAAUAGCUCGCCUCCUUUCCAGACUCCUUGUCUCCUCCUCGCAUCGUCCUAACGUCCUCCUUAAGCCUUCGGCUCUUUCUAACCCUAAUCCAUGAUUUCAUCAUGAUGAAGACCUAAGGCUGCUCCUUUUCACCACUAUCUUCUCACAAGUCACCACC